AUUCCCAGAUGACAUCACCGACACACUAGAUGAUGAAGCAGAAUCCAGUAAUUCAGUUUAACAACUAUUUACUGGUCACCAAGGAUGAGUAAGGUAGUAUGUCAGGUGGUUCUGGAGACACAAACAUGAAUAAGUAUGUUCCUUUCCUAAAGAAGCUCAAAAGCUAGUAGGGGAAGCAGUCACGGGAGAGAACAAAGGCACUGAAGGACAGCUUGGAGAUCCAGCUUGACAAACUUAUUUCUGAGGACAACAGACAGCCCCUGGGUUUAGCACUCCAUAUAGUUUCAUUGUUAUUUUUCAUUUGUGUGUGGAGGAUGGGAAGACACUGAAGUUUUAGGGAGCUGAAGCAGGCUGGAGUGAUUUGAUCCAGGCCUAGCAGCAUAGAUGGUGAAGAUUUUAUCGCAAAGUAAAUGUCAGCCACAAGUGGGCAUCAAGGAUAGGUACGGGAACAGCAGGAGCUUGUUCAGGAAAGAGAAGGGAAUGAACACUCAUGGAAUGUCCACACUGGGUCUGGCUCUUUGCUGCAUUAUCUCAUUCAGUUUUUACAGUUCUUUGAGUCCAGCUUAAUUGCAGCAAGCUUUUACGGAAGUCUUCUCCACGUUCUUCUUCUAGCAUAUCUAAAGCUUAUAGUUUUGAGAAAGAGAUGAGAAGGAAAACAGCAAUAUUUCAUAAAACAUCAAAGAAG